AUGAACGCUGGCGGCGUGCCUAAUACAUGCAAGUCGAGCGGUAACACUUCGGGUGACGAGCGGCGGACGGCAGAGUAACGCGUAGGAACGUACCCCAAACUGAGGGAUAAGCACCGGAAACGGUGUCUAAUACCACAUGUGAUCUUCGGAUUAAAGCUCCGGCGGUUUGGGAACGGCCUGCGUAUGAUUAGCUUGUUGGCGAGGUAAAAGCUCACCAAGGCGACGAUCAUUAGCUGGUCUGAGAGGAUGACCAGCCUGACUGGGACUGAGAACGGCCCAGACUCCUACGGGAGGCAGCAGUAGGGAAUUUUCCACAAUGGGCGAAAGCCUGAUGGAGCAACGCCGCGUGCAGGAUGAACCCCUUCGGGGCGUAAACUGCUUUUAUGUGAGAAGAUUAUGACGGUAACACAUGAAUAAGGACCUGCUAACUACGU
rnacentral:rRNA from 1 species